GGACGUACUGAGCCCACGAUGAGGGAUGUUUAUCAUGAAAUUAGUGCCUGGUGGAAGCAGGUGGUUGGUUGUUUGCCAGGAACUGGAAACAAACCACGAUAAAGACCAGCGUUUGCUGCGCACUCACUGUGUGUCAGGCCCCUGGACGCCCCUGCCCCGCGUUCUCAGACCACCCCGACAGGCACCUGCAUGACUCAUUUCAGGACCAGAGACUCCCCCUCCCCUGGGAAGAACUUGCCCCAAGGUCGCACUGUGGGGUUAGCAGCAGCAGCUUCAGCCUGACUCCCAAUCCCAGCGCUGUGGAAACGGGGAGCGCCGGAAAGCAGGCGAAGAGCAACGGGAGCCCCCGCAGGACGCGUGGCGGGGACCGGGGCGCCCCCCAGGCCGGCGGGAGGUCUCAGGGCCUCGGCCUGGCCUCGGCCCCAGGCAGAUGAGCCGUCAGCACCAGGGACAGCUCCCAAACCGCUCCCCGC
rnacentral:lncRNA from 1 species